UUUUUAUUAGAUGAUGACUGUUAUGUGUCAUGUUCUGAUUGGAUGUCGAAUCCAUGGAAAAUGAAAUGCAUUAUUAUUAUGGACCAAUCAGAACAUGACACGUGAUAGUAAUCAUCU
rfam:Glycine max cultivar Williams 82 chromosome 17, whole genome shotgun sequence.